GACGAACGCUGGCGGCGUGCUUAACACAUGCAAGUCGAACGGAAAGGCCCUGCUUUUGUGGGGUGCUCGAGUGGCGAACGGGUGAGUAACACGUGAGUAACCUGCCCUUGACUUUGGGAUAACUUCAGGAAACUGGGGCUAAUACCGGAUAGGAGCUCCUGCUGCAUGGUGGGGGUUGGAAAGUUUCGGCGGUUGGGGAUGGACUCGCGGCUUAUCAGCUUGUUGGUGGGGUAGUGGCUUACCAAGGCUUUGACGGGUAGCCGGCCUGAGAGGGUGACCGGCCACAUUGGGACUGAGAUACGGCCCAGACUCCUACGGGAGGCAGCAGUGGGGAAUAUUGCACAAUGGGCGGAAGCCUGAUGCAGCAACGCCGCGUGCGGGAUGACGGCCUUCGGGUUGUAAACCGCUUUCGCCUGUGACGAAGCGUGAGUGACGGUAAUGGGUAAAGAAGCACCGGCUAACUACGUGCCAGCAGCCGCGGUGAUACGUAGGGUGCGAGCGUUGUCCGGAUUUAUUGGGCGUGAAGGGCUCGUAGGUGGUUGAUCGCGUCGGAAGUGUAAUCUUGGGGCUUAACCCUGAGCGUGCUUUCGAUACGGGUUGACUUGAGGAAGGUAGGGGAGAAUGGAAUUCCUGGUGGAGCGGUGGAAUGCGCAGAUAUCAGGAGGAACACCAGUGGCGAAGGCGGUUCUCUGGGCCUUUCCUGACGCUGAGGAGCGAAAGCGUGGGGAGCGAACAGGCUUAGAUACCCUGGUAGUCCACGCUGUAAACGGUGGGUACUAGGUGUGGGGUCCAUUCCACGGGUUCCGUGCCGUAGCUAACGCUUUAAGUACCCCGCCUGGGGAGUACGGCCGCAAGGCUAAAACUCAAAGGAAUUGACGGGGCCCCGCACAAGCGGCGGAGCAUGCGGAUUAAUUCGAUGCAACGCGUAGAACCUUACCUGGGUUUGACAUGGAUCGGGAGUGCUCAGAGAUGGGUGUGCCUCUUUUGGGGUCGGUUCACAGGUGGUGCAUGGCUGUCGUCAGCUCGUGUCGUGAGAUGUUGGGUUAGGUCCCGCAACGGGCGCAACCCUUGUUCACUGUUGCCAGCACGUUAUGGUGGGGACUCAGUGGAGACCGCCGGGGCCAACUCGGAGGAAGGUGGGGAUGACGUCAAGUCAUCAUGCCCCUUAUGUCCAGGGCUUCACGCAUGCUACAAUGGCUGGUACAGAGAGUGGCGAGCCUGUGAGGGUGAGCGAAUCUCGGAAAGCCGGUCUCAGUUCGGAUUGGGGUCUGCAACUCGACCACAUGAAGUCGGAGUCGCUAGUAAUCGCAGAUCAGCAACGCUGCGGUGAAUACGUUCCCGGGGCUUGUACACACCGCCCGUCAAGUCAUGAAAGUUGGUGACACCCGAAGCCGGUGGCCUAACCGUUGUGGGGGAGCCGUCGAAGGUGGGACUGGUGAUUAGGACUAAGUCGUAACAAGGUAGCCGUACCGGAGGG
rnacentral:rRNA from 1 species